GAUGAACGCUAGCGGCAGGCCUAACACAUGCAAGUCGAGGGCAGCGGGAGUAGCAAUACUUGCCGGCGACCGGCGCACGGGUGCGUAACGCGUAUGUGACCUACCUAUAACAGGGGGAUAACCCAGAGAAAUUUGGACUAAUACCCCAUAUUAUUAUUGAGCUGCAUGGUUUGAUAAUGAAAGACGCGAGUUGGUAAUGGAUGGGGAUGCGUGACAUUAGGUAGUUGGUGAGGUAACGGCUCACCAAGCCCACGAUGUCUAGGGGUUCUGAGAGGAAGGUCCCCCACACUGGAACUGAGACACGGUCCAGACUCCUACGGGAGGCAGCAGUGAGGAAUAUUGGUCAAUGGACGAGAGUCUGAACCAGCCAAGUAGCGUGCAGGAUGACGGCCCUCUGGGUUGUAAACUGCUUUUAGUUGGGAAUAAAAAGAGGGACGUGUCCCUAAUUGUAUGUACCAUCAGAAAAAGGACCGGCUAAUUCCGUG
rnacentral:rRNA from 1 species